rnacentral:rRNA from 1 species
UACAGAGGGUGCGAGCGUUGUCCGGAAUUACUGGGCGUAAAGGGCGCGUAGGUGGCCUGUUAAGUCGAACGUGAAAUCCCCGGGCUCAACCCGGGAACUGCGUCCGAGACUGGCAGGCUCGAAUCCGGGAGAGGGAUGUGGAAUUCCAGGUGUAGCGGUGAAAUGCGUAGAUAUCUGGAGGAACACCGGUGGCGAAGGCGGCAUCCUGGACCGGUAUUGACGCUGAGGCGCGAAAGCCAGGGGAGCAAACGGG